GAUGAACGCUGGCGGCGUGCCUAAUACAUGCAAGUCGAGCGAAAAGACGAGGAGCUUGCUUCUCUGACGUUAGCGGCGGACGGGUGAGUCACACGUGGAUAACCUCCCUCUAAGACUGGGAUAACUACGCGGAACCGGAGGUAAUAACGGAUAAUAUAUUGAACCACAUGAUUCAUUAGUGUAAGACGGUUUUGCUGUCACUUAUAGAUAGACCCGCGCCGCAUUAGCUAGUUGGUAAGGUAACGGCUUACCAAGGCAACGAUGCGUUGCCGACCUGAUAUGAGGAUCGGCCACACUGGACCGGUGACACGGUCCAGACUCCUCCGGUAGGCAGCAGUGGGGAAUGUUCCACAAGGGGCGAAAGCCUGAUGGGACAAAGCCGCGUCGGGGAUGAAAGGCUUCCGAUCUGAGAACUCUGUUACUAGUGAAGAACAAAUGUCUAAGUAACGAGGAACGUCUUGACGGUACCUAAUCAGAAAGCCACGGCUAACUACGUG
rnacentral:rRNA from 1 species